rnacentral:rRNA from 1 species
GGGUUGUGAGGUUAAGCGACUAAGCGUACACGGUGGAUGCCCUGGCAGUCAGAGGCGAUGAAGGACGUGCUAAUCUGCGAUAAGCGUCGGUAAGGUGAUAUGAACCGUUAUAACCGGCGAUUUCCGAAUGGGGAAACCCAGUGUGUUUCGACACACUAUCAUUAACUGAAUCCAUAGGUUAAUGAGGCGAACCGGGGGAACUGAAACAUCUAAGUACCCCGAGGAAAAGAAAUCAACCGAGAUUCCCCCAGUAGCGGCGAGCGAACGGGGAGCAGCCCAGAGCCUGAAUCAGUGUGUGUGUUAGUGGAAGCGUCUGGAAAGGCGCGCGAUACAGGGUGACAGCCCCGUACACAAAAAUGCACAUGCUGUGAGCUCGAUGAGUAGGGCGGGACACGUGGUAUCCUGUCUGAAUAUGGGGGGACCAUCCUCCAAGGCUAAAUACUCCUGACUGACCGAUAGUGAACCAGUACCGUGAGGGAAAGGCGAAAAGAACCCCGGCGAGGGGAGUGAAAAAGAACCUGAAACCGUGUACGUACAAGCAGUGGGAGCACGCUUAGGCGUGUGACUGCGUACCUUUUGUAUAAUGGGUCAGCGACUUAUAUUCUGUAGCAAGGUUAACCGAAUAGGGGAGCCGAAGGGAAACCGAGUCUUAACUGGGCGUUAAGUUGCAGGGUAUAGACCCGAAACCCGGUGAUCUAGCCAUGGGCAGGUUGAAGGUUGGGUAACACUAACUGGAGGACCGAACCGACUAAUGUUGAAAAAUUAGCGGAUGACUUGUGGCUGGGGGUGAAAGGCCAAUCAAACCGGGAGAUAGCUGGUUCUCCCCGAAAGCUAUUUAGGUAGCGCCUCGUGAAUUCAUCUCCGGGGGUAGAGCACUGUUUCGGCAAGGGGGUCAUCCCGACUUACCAACCCGAUGCAAACUGCGAAUACCGGAGAAUGUUAUCACGGGAGACACACGGCGGGUGCUAACGUCCGUCGUGAAGAGGGAAACAACCCAGACCGCCAGCUAAGGUCCCAAAGUCAUGGUUAAGUGGGAAACGAUGUGGGAAGGCCCAGACAGCCAGGAUGUUGGCUUAGAAGCAGCCAUCAUUUAAAGAAAGCGUAAUAGCUCACUGGUCGAGUCGGCCUGCGCGGAAGAUGUAACGGGGCUAAACCAUGCACCGAAGCUGCGGCAGCGACGCUGAUGCGUUGUUGGGUAGGGGAGCGUUCUGUAAGCCUGCGAAGGUGUGCUGUGAGGCAUGCUGGAGGUAUCAGAAGUGCGAAUGCUGACAUAAGUAACGAUAAAGCGGGUGAAAAGCCCGCUCGCCGGAAGACCAAGGGUUCCUGUCCAACGUUAAUCGGGGCAGGGUGAGUCGACCCCUAAGGCGAGGCCGAAAGGCGUAGUCGAUGGGAAACAGGUUAAUAUUCCUGUACUUGGUGUUACUGCGAAGGGGGGACGGAGAAGGCUAUGUUGGCCGGGCGACGGUUGUCCCGGUUUAAGCGUGUAGGCUGGUUUUCCAGGCAAAUCCGGAAAAUCAAGGCUGAGGCGUGAUGACGAGGCACUACGGUGCUGAAGCAACAAAUGCCCUGCUUCCAGGAAAAGCCUCUAAGCAUCAGGUAACAUCAAAUCGUACCCCAAACCGACACAGGUGGUCAGGUAGAGAAUACCAAGGCGCUUGAGAGAACUCGGGUGAAGGAACUAGGCAAAAUGGUGCCGUAACUUCGGGAGAAGGCACGCUGAUAUGUAGGUGAAGUCCCUCGCGGAUGGAGCUGAAAUCAGUCGAAGAUACCAGCUGGCUGCAACUGUUUAUUAAAAACACAGCACUGUGCAAACACGAAAGUGGACGUAUACGGUGUGACGCCUGCCCGGUGCCGGAAGGUUAAUUGAUGGGGUUAGCCGCAAGGCGAAGCUCUUGAUCGAAGCCCCGGUAAACGGCGGCCGUAACUAUAACGGUCCUAAGGUAGCGAAAUUCCUUGUCGGGUAAGUUCCGACCUGCACGAAUGGCGUAAUGAUGGCCAGGCUGUCUCCACCCGAGACUCAGUGAAAUUGAACUCGCUGUGAAGAUGCAGUGUACCCGCGGCAAGACGGAAAGACCCCGUGAACCUUUACUAUAGCUUGACACUGAACAUUGAGCCUUGAUGUGUAGGAUAGGUGGGAGGCUUUGAAGUGUGGACGCCAGUCUGCAUGGAGCCGACCUUGAAAUACCACCCUUUAAUGUUUGAUGUUCUAACGUGGACCCGUGAUCCGGGUUGCGGACAGUGUCUGGUGGGUAGUUUGACUGGGGCGGUCUCCUCCUAAAGAGUAACGGAGGAGCACGAAGGUUGGCUAAUCCUGGUCGGACAUCAGGAGGUUAGUGCAAUGGCAUAAGCCAGCUUGACUGCGAGCGUGACGGCGCGAGCAGGUGCGAAAGCAGGUCAUAGUGAUCCGGUGGUUCUGAAUGGAAGGGCCAUCGCUCAACGGAUAAAAGGUACUCCGGGGAUAACAGGCUGAUACCGCCCAAGAGUUCAUAUCGACGGCGGUGUUUGGCACCUCGAUGUCGGCUCAUCACAUCCUGGGGCUGAAGUAGGUCCCAAGGGUAUGGCUGUUCGCCAUUUAAAGUGGUACGCGAGCUGGGUUUAGAACGUCGUGAGACAGUUCGGUCCCUAUCUGCCGUGGGCGCUGGAGAACUGAGGGGGGCUGCUCCUAGUACGAGAGGACCGGAGUGGACGCAUCACUGGUGUUCGGGUUGUCAUGCCAAUGGCACUGCCCGGUAGCUAAAUGCGGAAGAGAUAAGUGCUGAAAGCAUCUAAGCACGAAACUUGCC